GGAAUAUUGGGCAAUGGGCGCAAGCCUGACCCAGCGACGCCGCGUGAGGGAUGAAGGCCUUCGGGUUGUAAACCUCUUUCAGUAGGGAAGAAGCGAAAGUGACGGUACCUAAAGAAGAAGCACCGGCUAACUAUGUGCCAGCAGCCGCGGUAAUACAUAGGGUGCAAGCGUUGUCCGGAAUUAUUGGGCGUAAAGAGCUCGUAGGUCGUUUGCCGCGUCGAUUGUGAAAAUCUGAGGCUCAACCUCAGGCCUGCAGUCGAUACGGGCAAACUAGAGUGUGGUAGGGGAGACUGGAAUUCCUGGUGUAGCGGUGGAAUGCGCAGAUAUCAGGAGGAACACCAAUGGCGAAGGCAGGUCUCUGGGCCAUAACUGACACUGAGGAGCGAAAGCGCGGGGAGCGAACAGGAUUAGAUACCCUGGUAGUCCGCGCCGUAAACGAUGGGCACUAGCUGUGAGAGCCUUCCACGGUUUUCGCGACGCAGCAAACGCAUUAAGUGCCCCGCCUGGGGAGUACGAUCGCAAGAUUAAAACUCAAAGGAAUUGACGG
rnacentral:rRNA from 1 species